rnacentral:rRNA from 1 species
AAUCAACGCUGGCGGCGUGCCUCAGACAUGCAAGUCGAACGAUUAAAGCUCUCUUCGGAGAGUGUAUAGAGUGGCGCACGGGUGAGUAACACGUAAGUAAUCUACCCUCGAGUGGGGAAUAACAACCGGAAACGGUUGCUAAUACCGCAUAAUGCAGCGGCACCGCAAGGUGACAGUUGUUAAAGAUUUAUCGCUUGAGGAGGAGCUUGCGGCAGAUUAGCUAGUUGGUAGGGUAACGGCUUACCAAGGCUACGAUCUGUAACCGGUCUAAGAGGACGGUCGGUCACACUGACACUGAAUAACGGGUCAGACUCCUACGGGAGGCAGCAGUCGGGAAUUUUGGGCAAUGGGCGAAAGCCUGACCCAGCAACGCCGCGUGAAGGAUGAAGUAUUUCGGUAUGUAAACUUCGAAAGAAUAGGAAGAAUUAAUGACGGUACUAUUUAUAAGGUCCGGCUAACUACGUGCCAGCAGCCGCGGUAAU